GCUGGCGGCGUGCUUAACACAUGCAAGUCGAACGGAAAGGCCCUGCUUUUGUGGGGUGCUCGAGUGGCGAACGGGUGAGUAACACGUGAGUAACCUGCCCUUGACUUUGGGAUAACUUCAGGAAACUGGGGCUAAUACCGGAUAGGAGCUCCUGCUGCAUGGUGGGGGUUGGAAAGUUUCGGCGGUUGGGGAUGGACUCGCGGCUUAUCAGCUUGUUGGUGGGGUAGUGGCUUACCAAGGCUUUGACGGGUAGCCGGCCUGAGAGGGUGACCGGCCACAUUGGGACUGAGAUACGGCCCAGACUCCUACGGGAGGCAGCAGUGGGGAAUAUUGCACAAUGGGCGGAAGCCUGAUGCAGCAACGCCGCGUGCGGGAUGACGGCCUUCGGGUUGUAAACCGCUUUCGCCUGUGACGAAGCGUGAGUGACGGUAAUGGGUAAAGAAGCACCGGCUAACUACGUGCCAGCAGCCGCGGUGAUACGUAGGGUGCGAGCGUUGUCCGGAUUUAUUGGGCGUAAAGGGCUCGUAGGUGGUUGAUCGCGUCGGAAGUGUAAUCUUGGGGCUUAACCCUGAGCGUGCUUUCGAUACGGGUUGACUUGAGGAAGGUAGGGGAGAAUGGAAUUCCUGGUGGAGCGGUGGAAUGCGCAGAUAUCAGGAGGAACACCAGUGGCGAAGGCGGUUCUCUGGGCCUUUCCUGACGCUGAGGAGCGAAAGCGUGGGGAGCGAACAGGCUUAGAUACCCUGGUAGUCCACGCUGUAAACGGUGGGUACUAGGUGUGGGGUCCAUUCCACGGGUUCCGUGCCGUAGCUAACGCUUUAAGUACCCCGCCUGGGGAGUACGGCCGCAAGGCUAAAACUCAAAGGAAUUGACGGGGCCCCGCACAAGCGGCGGAGCAUGCGGAUUAAUUCGAUGCAACGCGUAGAACCUUACCUGGGUUUGACAUGGAUCGGGAGUGCUCAGAGAUGGGUGUGCCUCUUUUGGGGUCGGUUCACAGGUGGUGCAUGGCUGUCGUCAGCUCGUGUCGUGAGAUGUUGGGUUAAGUCCCGCAACGAGCGCAACCCUUGUUCACUGUUGCCAGCACGUUAUGGUGGGGACUCAGUGGAGACCGCCGGGGUCAACUCGGAGGAAGGUGGGGAUGACGUCAAGUCAUCAUGCCCCUUAUGUCCAGGGCUUCACGCAUGCUACAAUGGCUGGUACAGAGAGUGGCGAGCCUGUGAGGGUGAGCGAAUCUCGGAAAGCCGGUCUCAGUUCGGAUUGGGGUCUGCAACUCGACCUCAUGAAGUCGGAGUCGCUAGUAAUCGCAGAUCAGCAACGCUGCGGUGAAUACGUUCCCGGGGCUUGUACACACCGCCCGUCAAGUCAUGAAAGUUGGUAACACCCGAAGCCGGUGGCCUAACCGUUGUGGGGGAGCCGUCGAAGGUGGGACUGGAGAUU
rnacentral:rRNA from 1 species